rnacentral:misc_RNA from 1 species
AAGUCGUAACAAGGUUUCCGUAGGUGAACCUGCGGAAGGAUCAGUAGAGAACGCCGGCGAAAGCCGGCACUACACCACACACACACGUGAACCGUCCGGAGCCAGCGGAAGGGCUUGCCCUAAUAGCGUCCGCUUUACAAAACACUUAGAAACGUAACGAACGUAGUCUUAUUUAACAAAUAAAA